GACGAACGCUGGCGGCGUGCCUAAUACAUGCAAGUAGAACGCUGAAGAGAGGAGCUUGCUCUUCUUGGAUGAGUUGCGAACGGGUGAGUAACGCGUAGGUAACCUGCCUUGUAGCGGGGGAUAACUAUUGGAAACGAUAGCUAAUACCGCAUAACAAUGGAUGACCCAUGUCAUUUAUUUGAAAGGGGCAAAUGCUCCACUACAAGAUGGACCUGCGUUGUAUUAGCUAGUAGGUGAGGUAACGGCUCACCUAGGCGUCGAUACAUAGCCGACCUGAGAGGGUGAUCGGCCACACUGGGACUGAGACACGGCCCAGACUCCUACGGGAGGCAGCAGUAGGGAAUCUUCGGCAAUGGGGGCAACCCUGACCGAGCAACGCCGCGUGAGUGAAGAAGGUUUUCGGAUCGUAAAGCUCUGUUGUAAGUCAAGAACGAGUGUGAGAGUGGAAAGUUCACACUGUGACGGUAGCUUACCAGAAAGGGACGGCUAACUACGUG
rnacentral:rRNA from 1 species